rnacentral:misc_RNA from 1 species
AAUUAGGCAUCUGGCACAUGCAGAACAUAGUCACGUAGGAAUUCGAGGCUUCCAUUAUAUAACUAUCAAAUCUUCCAUUUAGGGCCAUUUUUAACUCCGAUACCGAACCGAAAUGACGGGUUUCAGAUGUACAGUAAUAUUUUGCGCAAUAAUUAUUGCGCAUGCGCAGGAAGUUCCGGUCCCACCUCGUCCCCAAGGGUACGUUUAUGCUUACAGCCAAUCCAACAAUCUGACCGAUCUGCAGCUCGACGCGUUCUUUGAUCCGCUGUGUCCGGACAGUAAACAGGCCUUUCCUACGCUGCUUCAAGUGGCAAAUCACUACGGACCGGAUGUGCUGACGCUUCGUCUUCACAUGUUUCCGCUUCCGUACCAUAGGAAUUCUUUCCUUGCAUCUAUGGGAACCGAGGCGGUCUACCAGUUAACAUCGUCUCCAAGUGCUGUAUUUGACUGGGUUGCCAAAAUCUAUGACAACAUCUACCCACUGUCCAAUGCACCGACCAAACACAUGUCUGAAACAGAUGUUACUAACAUGCUUGGAGACAUCGCUGCGCAGUUGGGCAUACAAAAAUCACAAUUCUUACACAAGAUGGCGGAUGCAUGGGUGGACAUGAAUAUUCGAAUGGAUUGGAAGUGGAGUGUCGGGAACACCGCUGUACGCCAUUAAUGGCGUUGUCAAGGUGAUUGACAAGGCGUGGUCUCUGACGGACUGGAUUGGUGUCCUGGAUCCGCUCGUCCGUAAAUCGUAUGUCUUCCAUGUUCCAAACUGACGUCAUGUACGCAAAAUCAUUGACAGAUACGCCUGUAAAUGUACUUUAAAAGUAAGAUAGAGAUUAAUAGCAAUACAUC